UGCUCCGUCUCGAGUGAUAUUGCGAUUGCGAUGCUUUCACUCUGUGGAAAAAGGAGACGCGAUAUCGCCGCGAAACGAUAACGAAACUCCGCAGCGAAUCGAACGGACAAAUUAGACGAAAAAAUACAGGAGUCACGAGACACAUGGGUGAUGAAAAACAUAAUUUUUCGUUUCUUUCGUCACCGUUCGCUCCAAUCUUACUCCAAUUUCCUCGCGUGGCGUAGAAACUAAGAACUCUCUUCAAAAACCUUCGAUACAAAUUUUUAUUUUAUUUACAUCUGCAGCUCUUCUCGCGUUAGUCAUAUGUAUACGAGGUAUUAAUUGAGUACAGCUUUGACAGCUUGGAGUGGAUCGGCGAUUACGCCAACGAUAUGUAACCGAAUAUAACGUUCGAUAGCGAAAUAAAAUAAAAAGAAAAGAGAGAAACGAAAAAAACGAAAAACGAAAGAAGAGAAACAGUUCUACCGGAAGUAAUAUUCCAUAUGGAUUAUUUUAUAACGUUGACGUAAUCGCGCGUUGAAAUAAGUCACGCGAUACCGCUCCACAGCGAACCGAAUCUUUCACGACGAACGGUAAACACAAUCCGCUGUUCAUCCAUGUUAACAAAAAAAGUGGGAGAGUAGAGGGUGAUUUUCGACAAUCAGUGCACGAUUACGAGAAAUCUAAUCAAUCGGGAUCGAACGAAAUCCCGAGCGAUUAGAUUCGCCGGAUAAAACGAUCAUCGGUUAUAACAGACCUGGUUUCGCCUGGGCACCGUCAGUACCACUCCAAAAAGCGACCGGUAAAUUAUCGCCAACGAAGCUGACCACGUACGCAUUCGAUAACGCGAUUGUCACAUCGAACGUCUUUCGAUCGAUCGGUUGAUAAAAUUCACGCCUUUCGAUCAAUUCUUCUCAUCCUUGCGAUCGACUACACUCACCCCUAUAGUGAGGCGUCGGAAGCAGGAGGAGGUCCUUCGCUUCCAGGAUUAUUACUACUAUCGGACGUGACGGGAAGUGCGGCUCCGUACACCGGAUCGAAGAAGCGACCGGAAGAAUAAGAGGAAGAAAUCGAAGGAGAGAGAACGCACCGCGGAGGGAUAAAAUUCACGGAGCGUGAGAACCCGUUCAUCCCCCGCGUGGAAGUUUCUCAAAUAUUAAACGCGGUCGUAUCGGAGCGUAAUAGGAACAGGUAGCGGAUGACGACGACGACGACGACGACGACGAUGACCGGUCGAGAAAUAGGUGGAGUAGACGCGAGGUGAGGGAGCGCGGUGCGUGACGACUUACGUAAGUGCGGAGGGUAAUGGUUUCAUUAGGUAUCGCGUUUACGUACGGUAUAUAUAUAUAUAUACAUACAACUCGGAAGCGAAUGCGAUAACUGUGUAUUUUGCGGAGAUGUGCCGAGUCGCCUCCGUAUCGUUGUUAUAGACAGUUUCUACGGAGGUGUGCGCGAAGUUAUAGUUUCUCAGGGAAGUGACCGCGUUUAGUUUCUCGUCGUUCUUUAUUCAGCAAUUAGUGUUUAUGCUACGUGUGUCGACGACGGUGCCCGCUCCGUUUCUACGGUGUAUAACACAACGCGGUAUACGAAAUAUACGUACACGUCCUCUGCCCGUCUAUACGUAUUCUCGGGUUACCACCUCUGCGGCCGAGCACCGCAUCGGCAUCGCACUGUAACCGAGUAAAUUGAAGUUUUCAUCAUUUCGAGUCCGGCCCGAAGUUAACGGUACUAAACACGCCGAUUAUACGCAGGUACGGGUCACGCGGAACGCUGCUCCUCGCUUCGCUCGGGGUUCGUUCGUUGUUUCUUUCCUUCUUGCUUAUACCUACCUCGUACCUCGAAACCUAACAGAUAUACCUAAGACUAAGACUAAGACUAAGACGACGACGACGACGACAGCGUCGCCGCCGCUCCGAGGAGAGAAGACCGUUAGCGUGGGAAGUCCGAGUCUCGCUCGCGAGUUCUGAUUCUAGCUUUGAGAACCCGACGUCAACGUGGACGUCCUCGCCACCGCAGAACCCCCUUUUGAGAAAUAAUAACACGACCCGGAAGAAUUCGCGACGAUCCUACAGUCGCCACGGAAUCCCUAGGACUUGCUUCUAUCGAGGCGGACGAUAGUCGUCGGAGGAAACGUUGGAAAGGAUUCCUCCUCGGGAUUCGAAGAAACUCUGAGAGUCCUGCGAUUCCACCUCUAUCGGUCGAAUCGUUAUUUCGAUUGGCUUAAAUUACUUAGCGCGGGGUGAACGAGAGUCGUUGAAAAAUCGCAGCGAAGUCGAAACGAUCAACGUCUAUUGGAUGGAAAUAGCGGAGGCGAAGUACCGCUGAAGAAGGACCUGCCGCAGCUGGGAUUUCUUCUUCUUCUUCUUCUUCUUCUUCUUCUUCAUUUUACCUACUUUUUUUUCUCCCCUUUCAGAAGCGGGUGCUUAAAUCGGACAAGGUAUACACGCCGGUGUCACAUUCGUGCCGUGUUCUACCCUAGAUGGUGAACUGAGGGACUGGAGGCUAACGCGUGUUCCUGUCCGGUGUGUGCGGUCCGUAACAGCGAUUCGCCGCGUUUCCGUUUCUCUAUCUCUGCAACAUCUUCCGUAAAUGUUUUAUUCGGAAACACUGUUCGCGUGAAUCCGUGACGUGAAAACUUGCGCACGUCGUAUAACUCGUGGACAAUUCAACGUGUAUUUCCUAUUAAAAAAAUGUCAGAUCUAACCAAUUGUUGGAAAUUAAUGGUCGUUAUACGCGAGUAUGUUCUGGUCGGUUUGCGUGGUUCGCAAAAAAAAAAAAAAAAAGGAGCAAAGUUUCUCGAUAAAUCGUGCGAGAUCCGCGAAGGUUCGGUCUUCGAAGGUAUGGGGUACCCGCGAUAUUAUAAAGUGGGCGCCAGUUGAUACAGAGGACAUAUCGUAACGUAUAGUCAUUCGUUCGUUGCAGCGAGAUAACCGAUCGUACGAAUCUGGAGUCGAAACGCAUGACCAAUAAAUAUUGGAUAAUUUAUUAGCGAGGCCGUGACGUUGGGUCGGUCGGUCGGUCGGUCGGUCGGUCGAUCGGUCGGUCGCUCGGUUUCUCCGCGGACGAGUGUCCGUUCCUCUCUCUCUCUCUCUUUCCCUUAUCUCCGUCCUUUUUCUGGAGGUCCGGGACGGGCGGAGGUAGCCGCGGUAUCAAAGCGAUUCGGGUGUUGUCAGGGACCGGCAGAAAACCUCAAAGAAAACCGACCAGACACGACGGUGGUUCGCAAACCGUUCCGUCCGAGUUUCGCGGCGGCGACUACGACGGGCGGCGGUAGCGGCGGCGGCGGCGAGUCGUCGAUUCGUGCCGAUCCUCAAUUUCUAUACCUGGAAGUGAGUCGAGGGAGGUAAGCGAGGAGUCCCGCGCGAGCCGAACUCUCCCUCCCUCCCUCCCUCCCUACCCCUCCGGCCGCCGCCGCCGCAGAACCGUCUAGAUUCCAAUCAGCGAGUUUUUGCGAGAUUCCACCCGAAUAAACGGAGGGGAGGACAGGAGGAAGCUGCCCACCUACCUAAGGCGCGCGAGACGACCGAACUCCUUCUCCCCCGCCGAUCUCGUUCUUAAUUCGAGUCACCAUUACCUGCCGUUUCGCAGUCGAUUAGUUCCCCGAUUAAUUAGCGUAACGGCUGUCAUAUGUUCAAACGAGAACGUCAUCGCUCGAUGUUUGUUAAUUUUUAUCGAUCUUUCCUCUCCUACUUUUCUCUUUCUUGUUUUUUUUUUUUUCUCGAACCUCGCGGGUUUCUUCCUCCGAUUCCCCGGAGCGUUUUUGUCGAAGGGGCCGCGGGUUUGCGGAGCGGCGGUUGAAUUUACGGCGUCUCGAGGUACCGGCGGCGAGAGGAUGGGAUUUAAGUUCGGAAAAUCGGCGACGAAGCGAAUCGAGGCGUGGUAAUGCCGGUACCGAAAAAAUGUGAUUUAAAAUAAUUAUAAACGCAUUAGUCGGGCGGGCGGUUCGACGGCGUGCAGCGCCGGUGUAGGUACGCACGUACGUACGUACGUACCGUAUUACGUGUGGAUGGAGCGAAAUCAGCGGCAGCUUAACGCGCUUGCUCGCUCGUAGUGGAUCGGCGAAGCUCGUCCGAGGUCCAGGAGCUGUUCGCUAGGCAGGCAGAUGAAGAUGCUAAUCUCGAUGAUUUGUUACGCCAUUGUUGACGCCUAAUGAGGCGGUUAUACCGGCCCUGCUUUCGUCCCAAAUCGAGAAAGACUGAGAAAACCCAUCCUUUAUGGUUUGCAGGCAUUCCGCGUAUGACGUACCGCCUAUCUCUCUACCUUAAACGUACACCUACUUAUCGCAUACGUAUUUACGUACGUACGUACGUACGUUACCCGCGUUAUUAUAAACGCGCGCGGAUUCACGCACUAGCUUUUUCCCUCGUGUUGGAUAUAUACCUGUGUACACACACGGCGUGUACGCGGUAUCUCCGCAUAUCGGAUUUCGCUCACCUCAUUACCGAGCCUAUGCGGUCAUGAUAUUAUUCUGCAAUUCGUUGCAUAAAACCGAGAAAACGUAAACGACAAAUUUAAUAGCCGCGCUUUGGCGUAUCCCGUUCGUACACGCGCGGCGCGCGUCAUUUUUCUCGUCUCACUCCUUCUCCUCUAUUUUUCAACGACGCCGCGAAUCACCGAUUAUCGAAGAUUUCAACGAACGGAAAAAAAGGAGCAAUGAAAAGAAAAAAAAAGAAAAAUACUCGGAAUGAAAAAUUUCAAACCGCUCGCGUGUUGCCGCUGUACGCGGAAUAAUGAUAAUCUUUCGUACUUUUGACGAAGCUCGCGCACACGCGUGUGCAGAUGUACGGUAGAAGAAUAUAUCAGGUACACAGAAUAA